rnacentral:rRNA from 1 species
UCUAACCUAUGGACGGGGAUAACCUCGGGAAACUGAGGAUAAAACCCGAUAGAUCAUUAUACCUGGAACGGUUUAUGGUUCAAAUGAUUCGUCGCCGUAGGGUGGGACUGCGGCCUAUCAGCUUGUUGGUGAGGUAAUGGCCCACCAAGGCUAUUACAGGUACGGGCUCUGAGAGGAGAAGCCCGGAGAUGGGUACUGAGACACGGACCCAGGCCCUAUGGGGCGCAGCAGGCGAGAAAACUUUGCAAUGUGCGAAAGCACGACAAGGUUAAUCCGAGUGGUUUCUGCUAAAGGAACCUUUUGUCAGUCCUAGAAACACUGUUGAAUAAGGGGUGGGCAAGUUCUGGUGUCAGCCGCCGCGGUAAAACCAGCACCUCAAGUGGUCAGGAGGAUUAUUGGGCCUAAAGCAUCCGUAGCUUGCUCUGUAAGUUUCCGGUUAAAUCCAUUAGCUCAACUAAUGGCCUGCCGGAAAUACUGCAGAGCUAGGAAGUGGGAGAGGUAGACGGUACUCGGUAGGAAGGGGUAAAAUCCUUUGAUCUAUUGAUGACCACCUGUGGCGAAGGCGGUCUACCAGAACACGUUCGACAGUGAGGGAUGAAAGCUGGGGGAGCAAACCGGAUUAGAUACCCGGGUAGUCCCAGCUGUAAACGAUGCAGACUCGGUGAUGCACUGGCUUGUGGCCAGUGCAGUGCCGCAGGGAAGCCGUUAAGUUUGCCGCCUGGGAAGUACGUACGCAAGUAUGAAACUUAAAGGAAUUGGCGGGGGAGCACCACAAGGGGUGAAGCCUGCGGUUCAAUUGGAGUCAACGCCGGAAUCGA